ACCAAACUCAAGUUCUCCUCAAACUACACU
rnacentral:piRNA from 1 species